ensembl:rRNA 5S_rRNA 5S ribosomal RNA
AUCAACGGCCAUACCACCCUGAACACACCCGAUCUCGUCUGAUCUCGCAAGCUAAGCAGGGUCGGGCCUGGUUAGCACUUGGAUGGGAGAAUAUACUGGGUUUAGAGAGUCACCAAGACUAUUGGAA